GGGCCACAGCCCGGAGGGGCGCGGACCAGACCCGGCCGCAGCGGCCUCCGGGAGUCCCAGCUCCGCACCUGUCUGCUCCGUCCCGCGGGGGGCGGAGUGGGGCCAGGGCCUCUCAGACUAGAUGGUGGGCGAGGAGGUGUUAGCAAACGGGAGGUCCCGGAGACGCUUUUUCCUGGUUCGGCCCCCACCGCUCGGCGGAACACGUGCUGACUCUAGGUCCGAGCCAGCACUGCUCCGAACCCAGUCCCCGAAAGGGGUCCGGCCUGGGCGCGGCCCGCGCACCUGGAGGCGCGGCGCAGUGGCCGGGGCGUGCGGUCAUCGGUCACCGGGAGGGCGUUGUGGGCCCGGGCGCGAGGGCAGGCGCGGGGCGAGGCCCCUGAGUCACCCGGUCAGCUCAGCCCGCGUCCCGGGAGGCGCUGGAACCGCACCCUCUGCUGGCGGAGCCGAGCGAGGCCCAGAACCCAAACCCAGUUCCCGGGCGGGUGGGGCCGGAGGCCGUUUCCGAGUUCUAGGUGCAGUCCGGAGAGACAGAGAUAAAGAAGGUCCUUGUUC